ACCCGCUUCAUUGUAAUCAAUCCCAGAGAAGAUCAUACUAAACGCGCUCUUCAGAAAACUUGUACAAGUUCAAAAAAACAGUACUACUACUUGUUAAAAAAAAUAUACUGAUUUUCCGUCAAAUGAAAGUAAUACAAUCCGUCUCCGUUGACAACUGGUAAAGUUAUCUCAUAACAAAGCUAUUAAUUAUUUGAACGCCUUCGUCUCAAACAAAAUCAAUAAUUUUGACUGUUUUCUAUAUUUUCUGAAGGUUGAAAUAAGAUUAUAACUUGAGGUAUAUAAGAGCCAGAAGGUUCUGAAUGAAUUGGUUGACAAGAAAUGCUGGCAAUAUCGUAGUCAUUCAAACUUUUUUCUUCUUGGCUAUUCUCCGGAAAAGCAAUUUCCACUUGUUUGGGUUCCAAAAAGAUAUAUAGAUUCGUGUGUUAUUACUAUAUAAAAGAGGUGUUGAAGCAAUAGACUUAAUAGAAUUUCUUAUCGAUCCGGAUCAGCAAUCUCAACAAGAGUUUGAAAAUAAUUAUUUCAUCCUUUUUAACAAUUUUGUUUUAGAGGAAUCUGCCUUCAGACAGACGAGUUUUGUUAAAUUUCUAUUUGUACAAUGAUGUGCGAUUAUAAUUAUAAUGAUUAAAAG
rnacentral:lncRNA from 1 species